rnacentral:rRNA from 1 species
AACGAACGCUGGCGGCAUGCCUAACACAUGCAAGUCGAACGAAGCCCCCGAUUUCGGUUGGUGGCUUAGUGGCGCACGGGUGCGUAAUACGUGGGAAUCUGCCCCCAGGUACGGAAUAACUCAGGGAAACUUGAGCUAAUACCGUAUGAUGACUCCAGGGAAACCCGGGGUCCAAAGAUUUAUCGCCUGGGGAUGAGCCCGCGCAGGAUUAGCUUGUUGGUGAGGUAAAGGCUCACCAAGGCUGCGAUCCUUAGCUGGUCUGAGAGGAUGAUCAGCCACACUGGGACUGAGACACGGCCCAGACUCCUACGGGAGGCAGCAGGU